rnacentral:lncRNA from 1 species
UAUUUAUGCACAAGUAUGUUGAUUUUAGACUCCUUUACUUGAUUGGUUCCUUCAUGGGUUACUUCUAACCUAUCCCAUAUUUUUUUAGCAGACGAGCAAGUAGAAAUGCGAUUAAAUUCGUUAGCAUCAAGAGCAUAAUAAAGAACAUUCAUUGCUUUAGCAUUUAAUUGGGCCAUUUUCUUAUUAACCUCAUCCCAUUCUUUCUCGGGUUUGGCUGAUUUCACACCAUCUAUAAUUUUAGUGGGUGUGUGAGGACCGUUCACUAUGAUACUCCACAUAUCAUAGUCGAGUGUUUGAAUGAAUAUUUUCAUCCGAGCUUUCCAAUAGGUGUAAUUAGACCCAUUGAAAAGUGGAGGUCGGUUAGUGGAUUACCCCUCGACUAGAGAAGUGCCGACUUGAGUUGCCAUAGAUCUUUGGCUCUUUGAUUGUUUAGAUCAAAGUAGGGCUAGAGCA